rnacentral:rRNA from 1 species
ACGCUCGACACCUACGGAGGCAGCAGUGGGGGAUAUUGCACAAUGGGGGAAACCCUGAUGCAGCAACGCCGCGUGAAGGAUGAAGGUUUUCGGAUUGUAAACUUCUGUUCUUAGUGACGAUAAUGACGGUAGCUAAGAAGAAAGCUCCGGCUAACUACGUGUCAGCAGCCGCGGUAAUCUGAGCGGGCUGGCAAGGC